GCCGGUGUGUUGGAAUUGGCAGACGAGGAGGACUCAAAAUCCUUUGCCAGCGAUGGCGUGUGGGUUCAAAUCCCACCACCGGCACCA
rnacentral:tRNA from 1 species